AUGAAAAACCAAUCGGUCGAUGUGCUGGCAAACCAAAGCAAGUGCACUCGAUCAAAAUCCAAUCCACACCUGUGCACCCAUGAGACUGGACCCUCGCUCGAGGAUCGGUCCCAUUUUUACACGCUUGUCCACGAAUGUGUAUUUGCUUUUGCAAUCUUGUA
rnacentral:misc_RNA from 1 species